rnacentral:rRNA from 1 species
UAGAUACCCUGGUAGUCCACGCCGUAAACGAUGAGUGCUAGGUGUCGGUAUAAAUCGGUGCCGCAGUUAACACAAUAAGCACUCCGCCUGGGGAGUACGUGCGCAAGCAUGAAACUCAAAGGAAUUGACGGGGACCCGCACAAGCAGCGGAGCAUGUGGUUUAAUUCGAAGCAACGCGAAGAACCUUACCAGGGCUUGACAUAUAAGAGACGAACUUAGAGAUAAGUUUUCUUCUUCGGAAGCCCUUAUA